rnacentral:rRNA from 1 species
UACGAGGGGGGCAAAUGUUGUUCGGAAUCACUGGGCGUAAAGGGAGCGUAGGCGGGUUCUUAAGUUAGGUGUUUAAUCCCGGGGCCCAACCCCGGACCGGCACUUAAAACAUGGGAAUCUUGAAUAGUGGAGAGGUCAGUGGAAUUGGGGUGUAGCGGUGGAAUGCGUAGAGAUCCCCAAGAACACCAGUUGCGAAGGCGGCUGACUGGACACAUAUUGACGCUGAGGCUCGAAAGCAUGGGGAGCAAACAGG